UACAGAGGGGCAAGCGUUAUUCGGAAUUAUUGGGCGUAAAGGGCGCGUAGGCGGCUUGGCAAGUGGAAGGUGAAAUCCUGGAGCUCAACUCCAGAACUGCCUUUGAUACUGGCGAUCUUGAGUCCGGGAGAGGUGAGUGGAACUGCGAGUGUAGAGGUGAAAUUCGUAGAUAUUCGCAAGAACACCAGUGGCGAAGGCGGCUCACUGGCCCGGUACUGACGCUGAGGUGCGAAAGCGUGGGAGCAAACAGG
rnacentral:rRNA from 1 species